CCGAAAGGCAGGAGUGCCUGCAAGGGAGCGCGGAGACAGGUGGUGCAUGGCUGUCGUCAGCUCGUGUCGUGAGAUGUUGGGUUAAGUCCCGCAACGAGCGCAACCCUCACCUCUUGUUGCCAUCAGGUCAUGCUGGGCACUCUAGAGGAACUGCCCCGGUCAACGGGGAGGAAGGCGGGGAUGACGUCAAGUCAUCAUGCCCCUUACGUCCUGGGCUACACACGUGCUACAAUGGCCGGUACAAAUGGAUGCCACACCGCGAGGUAGGGCUAAACCCAAAAAGCCGGUCUAAGUUCGGAUUGGAGUCUGCAACUCGACUCCAUGAAGGAGGAAUCGCUAGUAAUCGCGUAUCAGCACGACGCGGUGAAUACGUUCCCGGGCCUUGUACACACCGCCCGUCACACCACGAAAGCCAG
rnacentral:rRNA from 1 species